UCAAUUAAUAUGACAAGCUUUGUGAUCCUGUCAGUUUUCACUGAGGGUGGGACCAGUGUUUGCUUCCCCACUCCUCUCUGGUUUUUUUCCAAAAUUUCAGAGUAUCACACUGAAAAAGAAUUAUGGAUUUCCGUCUGAGAGGACUGCAUGAACUGAUAAAGCAAAAACUAUGGUAGAAAACAACUUGUUUUCCCCACCCUUUAGGUCAUAAUUUCAGUUGAGAGAGAAAGUGUAAUAAAUUUUGGCGGGAAAAAUAACCAAACUAUUUUGGACAUUUCUAAUGACUGGUCUGUGUAAACACUACUGAGAAAUGGAGGGAGAGAACAAUUUGACCGAGAGAAUGAUUAUUUUUCUUGCGCCAAAGCCUAGGUAUUUGUCAAGUCAAGUCUUUCAAAAUUGUCUGAAGCUCACUGAAAAGAGGAAGCAGACACACACAAAAGAAACCUUUGGAAAAGUCUUCAGCUCUUUUAUAUCUAGGCCCUAUAUGCUUCUAUUAAUCGGCAAAAAAGGGAUUACAGAACAUGCACAAUUAAAUUUUCCUCAUGAAUAUAGUCAAUAAACAGCAUAUUUCUCAGAAUAGGCCCAGUUCUGGAACUAAGAUCUGGACAACAUAUAGAGCAGAAUAAGGUGGUAUAAUCACAACAUGGCAGCCUGGAUUGUACCACUUCAGAUUUCAGAUGAGAAGGCAAUUUUCUGAAUGCUAGUCCACAUUUUUAAAAAAAUUAGGCCUACAAGUAAAGGACUAAUACAUCAUGGAGAAAGGUUCUAACCAAACCCACUUUCUGCUUGUUUUCUGUUUUACACAGCAGGAUAUUAGAAAAAUAUGCACCAACUAUCUGCAGUGGUACAAUCCAAUCUACUAUUUCAGAUCUCUUCCACUUCAUUCCUACUUUAUUCUGUGGCAUAAGAACGUCUUUAAGAGAAAGUCUUCUUCACUAUGAGCCCGAUCACCCAUUGAGAUCCGGGGAGGUUCAUCUGCAGUUGCCACCAGCUUGUCUGGUGGCUACACAGGGACUGGCCUUCUCUGUUGCUGCUUCGAUACUCUGAAAUGCACUCCCCGUUGAAAUAAGAGCCUCUCCAUCUUUGACAACUUUAAGAAAAUCUCUAAAGACACAUUUAUUCACCCAAGCUUUUUAACGAGACAUGGUUUUAAAUUGUCUUAAGGUUUUAAUUUCUUUUUAAAUUUGCUUUAUGUUGCUGUAAACCACCCAGAGAUGGAAGUUUGGGGCAGUGUACAAAUAUGAUUGAUAGACAGAUGUGGUGAUGAGGCCUAAAACUUCUUAAGAAUUACUAUUGUGUUUUGUAGGCCAUGGAGACAUGCAUGUGGAUCAGACACCAGAUGCCACCCAGCCAGGUUGCUCUAUACAAGCAAGCUGUGGGGACAGGUACCCUGGCACAGCUCUCUCUGUCUUGAACAGUGAACCCACUCUUCUGGGGUAGCUGGAAAUUGGGGCUUCCCUCUCCCGUGAUUCCGAGCGGCGGCAGAUCUGCAUACGGCACAAUGCCAGUCCAAACCCAGGAAAUUUGAAUGAGAAUAAAGAUCCAUCUUUGUUGGGUUAGCUGAACCUAUGAGCAUGCAGUCCGAUGGAAGACCAAAGACUGGUUUUUCAAUAUGUAGCAGAAAAUUCACAGAGUCAGGAAGUCAUGAAGAUGAAGAAGAAGAAGAAGAAGAUGAUGAUGGCAACAACUAUACCUUUCAGGCAUCACAGGAAAGAGAAGCAACUCAAAUGUCUUACAAACAGACAAAUAAAUGCAAAGAUGAGUAUGAAGGCAACGAAGGAUAACAAGACAAAUUUAAAUGAAAAGGUAUGUGACAGGCAUUCUUUCCCACUCCCAGUUCAACCAGCCUUGGGCACAGCAAAGAACAGCAGAGUCACUGUACAUACUCUGAAUGUGACGCAUUUUAAUACUUUCACUUGAGCUAUCUGUCAAAGAAUAACUAUGCUGUGUGUCAGUCAACACUUGGGCUGAUCUGCUACUGUGCAUGUCAUGAUGUAAGACCAUCCCUGAUUGUGCUUUUCAUGCCUUCUCCUCUCAAAGCUUCACUCAUGAUCAGUGUCUUGGAACUUUUAGGGAACAAUUACCAUAGUGUGAUCAAAUUCAGCAUAUAUGUGAGGAAAGAAUCGCCAAGGAUAUCUAACACAGACACUUUGAACCUCAGAAGAGGAAACUUCUCUAAAAUGAGGAGUUUGGUGAAAAGAAAACUGAAAAGGAUAAUCAGGAGAGACACUUUGCUCCAGAAUAAUUGGAGUUUAUUUAAAACCACAACAAUAGAAGCCCAGUUAGAAUUUAUACCAAAAAGAAGGAAAGGUACCACUAAGUCCAGGAGGAUGCCAGCAUGGCUAAAAGUAAAGUCAAGGAGGAUGUUACAAAGUCCAGGAGUAUGCCAGCAUGGCUAAAAGUAAAGUCAAGGAAGCUAUAAAAGGUAAAGGGGAAGAAUAAUUCCUUCAGAAAUUGGAAGAUCUGCCCAAAUGAAGAGAACAAAAAGGAACAGAAACGCUGGCAAAAUAAAUGUAAGGAGACAAUAAGGGAUGCGAAGAGAGAGUUUGAGGGACAUUUAGCUAAAAACAUCAAUGAGAAUAACAAAAACUUCUUUAAAUACAUCAGAAAUAGAAAACCUGCCAAGGAGGUGGUGGUCUGUUAGAUUAUGUGGGAGUAAAAGGGAUUAUUAACCCUCAUCCGGAUUUGGGGGUGGAUUAUAUGCAUAAUGGUGUGCAAACAAUUUGUUAUGCUAACAAAUAAAGUUUUUAUUAUUAUUAUUAUUAAUAAUAAAAACAAACAAGCAAACCGCUGCACUCCCAGCUAUGCUCUUGUUGUCAAUUUCUUAG